UAGGCACUCAGUAGACAGUAGGCACACAGUAGACACUCAAUAGGCACGCAGUAGGCACUCGGUAGGCAGUAGGCCUGCAAUAGGCACUCAGUAGCCAUGCAGUAGACACUCAGUAGGCAAUCAGUAAGCACUCAGUAGAGAGUAGACAUGCAGUAGACACUCAGUAGGCAUGCAAUAGACACUCAGGAGACACAAAGUAGACACUCAAUAGGCACGCAGUAGGCACUCAGUAGAUACGCAGUAGACAGUAGACAGUAGACACUCAGUAGGCACUCAGUAAACAGUAGACAGUGGGCAAUCAGCAGGCACUCAGUAGACAGUAGGCAGUGGGCAACCAGCAGGCACUCAGUAGACAGUAGGCAUGCAGUAGACACUCAGUAGGUGCUCAGUCGGCAUGCAGUAGACACACAGUAGGCACAGCAUAGGCACUCAGUAGACACACAGUAGGCACUCAGUAGGCAUGCAGUAAGCACUAAGCAGACACUCAGUAGGCAUGCAGUAGACACUCAGUAGGUGCUCAGUAGGCAUGCAGCAGACACACAGUAGGCACAGCAUAGGCACUCAGUAGACACACAGUAGGUACACAGUAGGCACUCAGUAGGCAUGCAGUAAGCACUAAGCAGACACUCAGUAGGCAUGCAGUAGACAUGCAGUAGACACACAGUAGGCACUCAGUAGACAGUAGGCACACUGUAGGCACGCAGUAGGAAUGCAGUAGACACUCAGUAGGCACACAAUAGGCACCUACCUGAGUGAACUAGUGAGUGAGUGAAUGCCUGCAUGCCAGGGGUCAUUUCGGAGAGCUGGUGAGUGUUAUGGUUUGGCUGUGUCUCCUCCCAAAUCUCAUCUUGAAUUGUAACUCCCACAAUUUCCACAUGUCAUGGUAGGAACCCAGUGGGAGGUGAUGGAAUAUUGGGAUGGGUCUUUCCUGUGCUCUUCUCAUGAUAGUGAAUGAGUCUCAUGAGAUCUGAUGGUUUUAAAAACAGGAGUUUCCCUGCACAAGCUCUCUCUUUGCCUGCCACCAUCCACAUAAGACGUGACUUGCUCCUCCUUGCCUUCCACCAUGAUUGUGAGGCUUCCUCAGCCACAUGGAACUGUGAGUCCAAUUAAACCUCUUUCUUUUGUAAAUUGCCCAGUCUCGGGUAUGUCUUUAUCAGCAGCAUGAAAAUGAA
rnacentral:lncRNA from 1 species